CGGAUGUAGCCUAGUGGAUCAAGGCAGU
rnacentral:tRNA from 2 species